AUUGACGCUGGCGGCAGGCCUAACACAUGCAAGUCGAGCGGUAGCACAGAGAGCUUGCUCUCGGGUGACGAGCGGCGGACGGGUGAGUAAUGUCUGGGAAACUGCCUGAUGGAGGGGGAUAACUACUGGAAACGGUAGCUAAUACCGCAUAAUGUCGCAAGACCAAAGUGGGGGACCUUCGGGCCUCAUGCCAUCAGAUGUGCCCAGAUGGGAUUAGCUAGUAGGUGGGGUAACGGCUCACCUAGGCGACGAUCCCUAGCUGGUCUGAGAGGAUGACCAGCCACACUGGAACUGAGACACGGUCCAGACUCCUACGGGAGGCAGCAGUGGGGAAUAUUGCACAAUGGGCGCAAGCCUGAUGCAGCCAUGCCGCGUGUAUGAAGAAGGCCUUCGGGUUGUAAAGUACUUUCAGCGGGGAGGAAGGUGUUGUGGUUAAUAACCUUGGCAAUUGACGUUACCCGCAGAAGAAGCACCGGCUAACUCCGUGCCAGCAGCCGCGGUAAUACGGAGGGUGCAAGCGUUAAUCGGAAUUACUGGGCGUAAAGCGCACGCAGGCGGUCUGUCAAGUCGGAUGUGAAAUCCCCGGGCUCAACCUGGGAACUGCAUUCGAAACUGGCAGGCUAGAGUCUUGUAGAGGGGGGUAGAAUUCCAGGUGUAGCGGUGAAAUGCGUAGAGAUCUGGAGGAAUACCGGUGGCGAAGGCGGCCCCCUGGACAAAGACUGACGCUCAGGUGCGAAAGCGUGGGGAGCAAACAGGAUUAGAUACCCUGGUAGUCCACGCCGUAAACGAUGUCGAUUUGGAGGUUGUGCCCUUGAGGCGUGGCUUCCGGAGCUAACGCGUUAAAUCGACCGCCUGGGGAGUACGGCCGCAAGGUUAAAACUCAAAUGAAUUGACGGGGGCCCGCACAAGCGGUGGAGCAUGUGGUUUAAUUCGAUGCAACGCGAAGAACCUUACCUGGUCUUGACAUCCACAGAACUUGCCAGAGAUG
rnacentral:rRNA from 1 species